AUUUAUUUAUUAAAUGAUUCAAGCUCGAGACCACGACAUGUAUUAUAAUGAAUGUGUACUAGUUAGUCACUAUAUAUUAUCUUGAAUGGAUGAUCAUUAACUACUUCAAAAAUUAUGGACGCGUUCAGCUCGGAAGAUUAUCUUUUUCAUUUGCCAAUUUUCGAGAGGAGGGAAAGGUAAUAAGACUAAUAGAUUUGGGGCAUCAGAUUCUUCUCUUCUUACCACAAAAGAAUCAAAAGGCUCGCAUGCCCAUAAAGAUAAGGUAAAGCUAGUUUGAGGAUAUAGAAAGAAAUUAUUUCAAUGUAAUCUGUUUGUUUCUGUCGGUAUACUCUAUCAGCUAAUUAUUUCAAAUGUAAUCUGUUUGUAUCUGUCGGUAUACUAUAUCAAAUGUAAUCUGUUUGUAUCUGUCGGUA